rfam:Picea glauca, whole genome shotgun sequence.
CUCAUGGAGAGUUUGAACCUGGCUCAGGAUGAAAACUGGCGGCAUGCUUAACACAUGCAAGUCGGAUGGGAAGUGGUGUUUCCUGUGGCGGAUGGGUGAGUAACGCGUAAGAACCUGCCCUUGGGAGGGGAACAACAGCUGGAAAUGGCUGCUAAUACCCCAUAGGCUGAGGAGAAAAAGGAGGAAUCUGCCCAAGGAGGGGAUCGCGUCUGAUUAGUUAGUUGGUGAGGCAAUGGAUUACCAAGGCGACAAUUAGUAGCUAGUCCAAGAGGAUGAUCAGCCACACUGGGACUGAGACACAACCCAGACUCCUAUGGGAGGCAGCAGUGGGGAAUUUUCUGCAAUGGGCAAAAGCCUGACGGAGAAAUGCCGCGUGAAGGUAGGGGCAGAGGGAAUUUCUGGUGGAGCGAUGAAAUGCGUUGAGAUCGGAAAGAACACCAACAGUGAAAUCACUCUGCUGGGUCGACACUGACACUGAGAGACGAAAGCUAGGGGAGCAAAUGGGAUUAGAUACCCCAGUAGUCCUACCCGCAAAUGAUGGAUACUAAGUG